CCUACGGGGGGCUGCAGUGGGGAAUAUUGCACAAUGGGCGCAAGCCUGAUGCAGCCAUGCCGCGUGUGUGAAGAAGGCCUUCGGGUUGUAAAGCACUUUCAGCGGGGAGGAAGGCGGUGAGGUUAAUAACCUCAUCGAUUGACGUUACCCGCAGAAGAAGCACCGGCUAACUCCGUGCCAGCAGCCGCGGUAACACGGAGGGUGCAAGCGUUAAUCGGAAUUACUGGGCGUAAAGCGCACGCAGGCGGUCUGUCAAGUCGGAUGUGAAAUCCCCGGGCUCAACCUGGGAACUGCAUUCGAAACUGGCAGGCUAGAGUCUUGUAGAGGGGGGUAGAAUUCCAGGUGUAGCGGUGAAAUGCGUAGAGAUCUGGAGGAAUACCGGUGGCGAAGGCGGCCCCCUGGACAAAGACUGACGCUCAGGUGCGAAAGCGUGGGGAGCAAACAGGAUUAGAUACCCCUGUAGUC
rnacentral:rRNA from 1 species